rnacentral:rRNA from 1 species
GUAACAUGUGGGAAUCUGCCUUGUGGUUCAGGACAACAUUGGGAAACCGAUGCUAAUACUGGAUAAGCCCUUACGGGGAAGGUUUUAAUGCCAUAAGAUGAGCCCGCAUUUGAUUAGUUAGUUGGUGAGGUAAUGGCUCACCAAGACAAUGAUCAAUAGCUGAUCUGAGAGGAUGAUCAGCCACACUGGGACUGAGACACGGCCCAGACUCCUACGGGAGGCAGCAGUGGGGAAUCUUGCACAAUGGAGGAAACUCUGAUGCAGCGAUGCCGCGUGAGUGAAGAAGGCCUUUGGGUUGUAAAGCUCUUUUGUAGGGGAAGAUAAUGACUGUACCCUAAGAAUAAGGUCCGGCUAACUUCGUGCCAGCAGCCGCGGUAAUACGAAGGGACCUAGCGUAGUUCGGAAUUACUGGGCGUAAAGCGCGCGUAGGCCGUUGAGUUAGUUAAUUGUGAAAUCCCAAAGCUUAACUUUGGAACUGCAAUUAAAACUGCUCGACUAGAGUUUGAUAGAGGAAAGCGGAAUACAUAGUGUAGAGGUGAAAUUCGUAGAUAUUAUGUAGAACACCAGUUGCGAAGGCGGCUUUCUGGAUCAAUACUGACGCUGAGGCG